rnacentral:rRNA from 1 species
AUUGAACGCUGGCGGCAGGCCUAACACAUGCAAGUCGAACGAGUGGCGGACGGGUGAGUAAUGUCUGGGAAACUGCCUGAUGGAGGGGGAUAACUACUGGAAAAGGUAGCUAAUACCGCAUACCAUCAGAUGUGCCCAGAUGGGAUUAGCUAGUUGGUGGGGUAACGGCGCACCAAGGCGACGAUCCCUAGCUGGUCUGAGAGGCUGACCCGCCAAACGGGAACUGGGACACGGUCCGGACUCCUACGGGAGGCAGCAGUGGGGAAUAUUGUCCAAUGGGCGCAAGCCUGAGGCAGCCAUGCCGCGGGGAUGAAGAAGGCCUUCGGGUUGUAAAGUACUUUCAGCGGGGAGGCGUUACCCGCAGAAGAAGCACCGGCUAACUCCGUGCCAGCCGCCGCGGUAAUAC